CCUUCCCUCUUUCUUUAGGCCUAACACAUGCAAGUCGAACGGCAGCACAGUAAGAGCUUGCUCUUACGGGUGGCGAGUGGCGGACGGGUGCGGAAUACACCGGAAUCUACUUUUUCGUGGGGGAUAACGUAGGGAAACUUACGCUAAUACCGCAUACGACCUACGGGUGAAAGCAGGGGAUCUUCGGACCUUGCGCGAUUGAAUGAGCCGAUGUCGGAUUAGCUAGUUGGCGGGGUAAAGGCCCACCAAGGCGACGAUCCGUAGCUGGUCUGAGAGGAUGAGCAGCCACACUGGAACAGAGACACAGUCCAGACUCCUACGGGAGGCAGCAGUGGGGAAUAUUGGACGAUGGGCGCGAGCCUGAUCCAGCCAUACCGCGUGGGGGAAGAAGGCCUUCGGGUUGGAAAGCCCUUUUGUUGGGAAAGAAAAGCAGCAGGUUAAUACCCCGCUGUUCUGACGGUACCCAAAGAAUAAGCACCGGCUAACUUCGUG
rnacentral:rRNA from 1 species